UAUAUGAGCACCGCAGUUUAAAUCAUCUAACAAUAGAUUCACGAAACAAGCGGAAAACUCGAGAAAUAAAACUGCUUUUAAUGAAGACUGUGAGAAAGUUAAACUUUAUAAACCGCGUUAGGAGACGAGAUGAUGAGAGACUGAAUCUUUACCUCAGAGGAACAUUUAUUUCUUUGUUCUUUAAUGUAAAUUUCUCCUCGACCGUUCUCCAGACGUGGACAACUAUUCUGAAGAAGACGAUGACAGUUAUUCUUCAGAGCAGGAGGUCAGUGAUGAUGCCGUUCAGGGUCAGUGGAUAUGAACAGAAGUUCAGAUGCGUCUAUAGCGCUUCACUCUACAGCUGUUGAGCAGACGGCUGGGGGGGAUGUCACAUGUGACGGGGAUGUGAACGCAGACAAAUCAACAGCAAACAUCGGCAAACUCUGCAAGGCCGAGUCUCAGACUCUCAUGUCGUGGAGACGCUGUGUCUUUCGUUAAAAAAAACGACUGCUUCACGAACGCUUUGGUUAAAAGUGGGGCUAUUCCAACCAUUAAAACUUUACAAGGACAGUCUGGCGCUUCUGAUUUGCAGCCUUUUCACAGAUAUUCAGAUGAGUCUACAGCACUGGACUCAACAGUUGUGGAGCAGACGGCUGGGGGGGGUGUCACAUUUGACGGAGAUGUGAACGCAGACAAAUCAGCAGCAAACAUCAGCAAACUCUGCAAGGCCGAUUCUCAGACUCUCAUGUCACUUAGGUAGCACGUCCAUCCUUCUUCUCCAAUCCUCUUGUUAUCACUAUCUCUCCGAAAGCUGUUUCAUCCAAUAAUAAUCAUAACUGUUUGAUCAGAAUAAGGAUGAUUAGUAUUUUUCUAUGUUAAACAUUCACAUUUAAACAUGUCUCUUGCUUUUUUAUGUUCGCUAUGGUCAAAUACUUUUGUGUACACAUUUGAUAGUUUUACCCUUGUCUCAGUUCCAAACUGUCAGAAAAUAUGAAUCCCUAUACGACAUUUUGAAAUCUAAUAUAAUUUUGAGGAAUUUUACACUCCACAUUAAUAUUAACUAUGGCGAAAAAGACUUAAAUUUUGACUUUCCCUCAAUACCACAACAAACUAGUUGGGUUUUUCCAAACAUUGCUUAGCAUUUCUCAUCGCUUUAAACAGUGGUUCUUAACUUUGUCCCGCGAGAUCCAUUUUCCUGCAGAGUUUAGCCCCAACUCUGAUAUAAAACACCUGAAAAGGCUAAUCAGUGACUUCAGAAACAGACGCGCACAACUUAAUGCGGGGCUGCACAGAUUUCUUGACAUGUCGCAUUAAAGUACCGCGAGAUCGAUUCAAAUGCGCACGGAGCAAUCUGCACUUGAAUCACUGUCGCAGUACUUCAAUGUCACAAGCUGGUAGAUUUUCGCAGCGCCGCAUUAAGUUGAACGCAUCUAUUCCUAAAGACGCCGAUUAGCUUGUUCAGGUGUUUUAUAUCAGAGCUGGGGGUAAACUCGCAGGAAAAUGGAUAUUGUGGCCGGCGAGAUCCCAUGCAUCCCUGGGAGAUCCCUGGUCCUCUUUGACACCCACUGGCUCCAGUGCCCUCCACUCAGGCGGCCACUUGGAAGAAGACGUCGAAGAGGAGACCACGACCCCGUCAGCAGCUGCGGCAGAAGCGGCACUCUUGGGAAGAUCCCAUGGAGACCGAGAAUACCUUUAGGCCACCCAGCCAUUCCGUCGCGGGCCCUGCCCCGUCCCAACAGCCCACUUCAAGGAGUUUUCCUCUCCCUCUGGGUGUUUUUCACAGCUGCUCUCACCCUCUUCACGACGGUGUUUGGAAACCAGACGUUUCGUCAUUGCGAGACGCAACGUUGAGUAUACUCCGCAGCCCUCAGCACUCUCAAAUCGAAGGUGCGUAGAGCUGAAUCGCCAGGCAGGUAUGUCAGCAGAGCCGAUCUUCUCCCUGGGGGCCUCCCCAACACCUUUGCCCAACACCUUCUCUACAACCUCCGCUUUGAACCGGUGUCAGUCCACGUCUUGCAUUGCAACAUGUAGGCCAUAGGGUGUAUGCCUGCGAAAGCACCUUUCCAUAGGUGUGUCAGUGUGCUGCUUAGCCUCCAUUCUUUCCCCCACGGUGCGAAGAAAAAAGGCAUUCCAUACAUGAAUAAGCAAGCACCCCCUGCGGGCGGGCUGGGCAGAGCAGCCCUUCCCCUUAGGAGGGGUACCUUCUGAGUUGUCCACACAUAGCUCUAACCGGACACUGUGCUACCGGACGUUGUACCUACCCCACUCGGACAGUUCCGUCUGAUGUAUUCUCAUGAUUUGUUCCCACCUUAGUAACUCAAGACCUCCCUAGGUGGACCUCCACCUCGCGGCUAACUACUUCAGUCUGCUUAGUUUUUCCCAUGACAUAUACCCUGACAGUGCGACCGUGUGGGUGUCUCCAAAAGAACUCCUUCCGAUGGUAGGAAGUGCUCUCUGUAGUGCAUUCCCCAUUCGAGGAGUGCACUUACCCAUUGGACUUACGGCACAGUGAGGACAGAAGGUAGAGGCUUCCCACCUUUUCUAAAUGCUCUGGGACCCUCUGCCUACCUAUCCACUGGAAGAUUGCAAAUUUAACACAAGCGCUCCCGUCUGACACGCCCGGGCCAGUCACCAUUGCUUCGCUGAGAUUGUGAUACGGCACAGCAUUGUGGCGGGUUUUAAUAGGAACCCCAUCUGUCGGUUCGACACAACGCCGAAGAAACAACAGAAAGGGAACAUCUUGGUUAUCGAUGUAACCUCAGUUCCCUGAUGGAGGGAACGAGACGUUGUGUCCUUCUUGCUACAAACACGUGCCAGCCGUUGCAGUAGUUGUGGGAGGCUCUCAGGCUCCUCAGAAUUAAAGGUGAACGAAUGCAGCACGCCGUCUCCCUUUUAUUCCCGGAUAUCCGGGGACGGAGUCCAUCCAUCCAUCCAUUUUCUUCGGCUUAUCCGGGGCCGGGUCGUGGGGGCAGCAGUCUAAGCAGGGAUGCCCAGACUUCCCUCUCCCUAGACACUUCCUCCAGUUCUUCUGGUGGGAAACCGAUGCGUUCCCAGGCCAGCCGGGAGACAUAGUCCCUCCAGCGUGUCCUUGGUCUUCCCCGGGGUCUUCUCCCGGUGGGACAUGCCCAGAACACCUUCCCGGGAAGGCGUCCAGGGGGCAUCCGGAAAAGAUGCCAGAGCCACCUCAGCUGGCCCCUCUCGAUGUGGAGGAGCAGCGGAUCUAAUCUGAGCUCCUCCCGAGUGACAGAGCUUCUCACCCUAUCUCUAAGGGAUCGCCCGGCUACCCUGCAGUGAAAGCUCAUUUCGGCCGCCUGUAUCCGGGAUCUUGUCCUUUUGGUCAUGAUCCACAGCUCAUGACCAUAGGUGAGGGUAGGAACGUAGAUUGACCGGUAAAUCGAGAGCUUCGCCUUGCGGCUCAGCUCCUUCUUCACCACGACAGACCGGUACAGCGACUGCAUUACUGCAGAAGCUGCCCCGAUCCGUCUGUCAAUCUCCCGUUCCAUCCUUCCCUCACUCGUGAACAAGACCCCCAGAUACUGAGAACCAUGGCCUCAGAUUUGGAGGUGCUGAUUCUCAUCCCAGCCGCUUCACACUCAGCUGCAAACCGUCCCAGUGCAUACUGGAGGUCCUGGUCUGAUGGGGCCAGCAUGACGACAUCAUCCGCAAAGAGCAGAGAUGAAAUCGUGUGGUCCUCAAACCCGGAGACAAAUGGUUGCCCUGCCGGAGUCCAACAUGCACCAGAAUAAGUCUGAUUUACUGCCGGCAAUGCGAACCAAGCUCCUGCUCCGGUCAUACAGGGACUGGAUGGCCCUUAGCAAAGGGUCCCGAAUCCCAUACUCCCGGAGCACCCUCCACAAGAUGCCGCGAGGGACACAGUCGAAUGCCUUCUCCAAAUCCACAAAACACAUGUGGAUUGGUUGGGCAAACUCCCAUGAACCCUCCAGCACCCUGGAGAGGGUACAGAGCUGGUCCAGUGUUCCACGACCGGGACAGAAACCACACUGUUCCUCCUGAAUCCGAGGUUCUACCAUAGGCCGGAUUCUCCUCUCGUGUACCCUAGGACGCAUUCAAAGGCUAAACCAUGUGGUGCACGAGAAUGCGCUUUUGGUAUGUUGUCGCACGCCCCUCGCAUACACAGUAAGCGAAAAAAACGGCUUCCUACGGCUUUCCUACGAAAAACCUGCAUGCAGUUUAUGCGCAUUCAUAUUUUUGUGGCUUUUGUGGAAAUUUGGGCAAAAACCAGAUGCUGUUAAAAGAGAAAAGUGAGAUAGCAAAAACAUAUUCUGUCAUGUGUUGUCAUGUGACAUGUUCAUGUCAUUCUGCUGUAGGCUUUACGUACAUACGAGAUCAUUUUGACCUCUGACCUCUGCACACAGCAAUAGGUUUGUGGUUUUUGCAUGUAUUGUAUGCAUUGUAGACAAAUGAACCACAGUGAUUAUUGAAUUAAUCUUUAUUCAUUAAUAAUAUCUUUUUAUUGAGUAUAUUUAGUCUGCAAUUGAUUCAUUUUGCAUCCAUUGGCUGUAAUAGUCCACAUGCGGCGUGGAAAAUCUGCAUAGUCCAGAAAUGUCGUAGGUGAGCAAUCCAUAAACUGCAUGGAAAUUGCGCGUAAUCCACAAACUUCGGAGGUGAGCGACUCCCUUCUUUCCAAUGCCCGGGGCAUAAAAAAACCCCUAAUAGGUUGGUUUCACGUGACGUCACGAUGCUGCAUCGUGAGAGCGCGAAAUUCAGAUGGAGGGCAGGAAGUAAAAUAGUUGAGGAUCUGCCAGUGCCGUCUGAAAAAAUGCCAAUGUUUUGUGUAGUUUACGGCUGCUCCAAUCGUUCAAACAGAGAAAAGGAUUUUACAGAGUACCAAAGAUUGUCACUCAUAAAUGUGAGAAAUGUAAAAAGUUCACAGAACAACGCCGUAAAAAGUGGAUUUUUAACGAACUUCUGCGGUCGGGAGGAGCAGAGUCUGUUAAUGCCCGUGUGUGCAGCGACCACUUCGUCGGAGGUUAUGUUAUAUAGCCAAAUUGUUUUUUGUGUCUGUGUUUAUAUAGCAUUCGGUUUUCGUUAAAUGCUCUUUACUUAGUAAUUAUUAUAAAGUUAACGGUAGUCUAAUAUGCAGUUCAUUUGGGCUUUUUUGACUGCCCUAGCGCUUUGGGUGACGUUGAGUCGGUAGAUUGGGCUCCGACGGUCAACCUAAGGUCCCCAAAAACUAAACCCAAAUCAGAGGCAUCUCUCAAACGAGAGCAGAGGAUGACGCUCAAGGAAGACCAACAAAGACGGUCGAAAUGUACAGAGGCUAUGUUGGAUCUCCAACAGACAGAUGAGAGCCAGGAUCUGACACAGACAGCCGAAAGUUCCGAACCGAAGCAGCGUGACUAGUGACCAGUGGAUGAAAGUAUUACACUUGUGUAAAACUAGUGACGAGGGCUAGUGACUAGUCCAAUUGUACUGGCUAUAUGUAUUAUAUGUAAUGAAAUGGAAUCUAAUCUGUUAUUGCACACCAUGUUCUUAUUAUAACAAUUGUUGAAAAAUCUAAUAUUGUAAAUAAACCACCAUUUAUAAUUCUGUCUUCUCAAUGGCAUUUAAUGUUUGCAUUUAUAUUAAACAACAGCCAGAACUUACAAAGACCACACUUAUAACAAUAGUCAAAAUGAUAGAUAGUUGGUGAUGUCAACAGCAUCCACUGUUGGCAAAUCUUCAAGUUCGACAUAAAAGCUCAAUCAUCUUCACGAGUAACGGGUCACGACCAACAUAUCUGUUUACUAACUCCUUGUAUAUUUUGCUUGAAACUGGUCCUAAUUUCAUACAAUACGGACUCUCCGCAACGGUUUCCUCCAUAGACGUAUUCUCCAUAUUUACUUCCUGCCCUCCAUCUGAAAUCGCCCCGCCUUCGAGCGUCAUCAUAAUCACGUGACUGAAACCCAGCUAUUCCCACUUCUCUUUUCCCCCAUUUCUUCAACAUACCGAUCGACACGUGUACCAUUUGCAAGCGGGAUUACGCCCAGCUGAGCCAACACCUCUGGGUGUCGCAUGGGGUCAAAAACAUGGAAGAGUGGAGGCUGCUCCUGGCACUGCAGUCCGGCAGGGUCAGGGCUGCAAUAAAGAGUCGGCAAGGCUGGACCGGCAUCUGAAGGCCCACACUGAGCUUACGGUGGCAACGCGCAGGCAGCACGUUAGUUAGAUGAAGAGGCUUCUUUGUCUAAAGCAAUUGGCUGCACUGCGGGCCUCAGACCUGCAGGUGCCAAUGGUGUCGACGCUGGACUUCAUGGAAGAGGAGGAGGGAGAGGUUGCUCUGGACCAAGCAGAAGAGUAGGGAUCGGAGGAGCAGGAAGAGACAGAGGAGAGUGGGUGUCCAAAAAGAGCUUGCGUCAUGGCGAGGGAAACCGUGGCCCAGCUCAACUCCCAGGUGGACACCCUCACGUCCACCCUGAAGGAGCUUUCCAGGCUCUUCUGCAUUAUGCAACGCCGCUCACACCGAAGGCCUUCGGACUUCAGGCGUCAGGCGAAGCAACUCCUCUCCUCAUUUGCGAUCGAGGAAGACAACGUGGAGGAAGAUGCAGUGCCGCCUCAGCAUUCCUCCUCCAAGGCGUCAACCAGCAAGUCCUCUGCGACGCCUGGGGAGCAUGGGCUUCCCCAGUUCCCGGACCACGACGCGGUCUUGAAGACACUGAUGGAGCAAUACAGGGCCCACCAGGAGGGCCCCGACCCCUCCACUAAGCUGUGGGACAAUGUCGCCAGCAAUUGUAUCGCAUCAAGCGAUUUGUUGCGUACAUGGCCCAGGCAGGGGGCAAGCUCCAGACCCUGGACUUCCUCAAUGAUACGGAGAGGAUGC